rnacentral:rRNA from 1 species
GACGAACGCUGGCGGCGUGCCUAAUACAUGCAAGUAGAACGCUGAAGAGAGGAGCUUGCUCUUCUUGGAAGAGUUGCGAACGGGUGAGUAACGCGUAGGUAACCUGCCUUGUAGCGGGGGAUAACUAUUGGAAACGAUAGCUAAUACCGCAUAACAAUGGGUGACCCAUGUCAUUCAUUUAAAAGGGGCAACUGCUCCACUACAAGAUGGACCUGCGUUGUAUUAGCUAGUAGGUGAGGUAACGGCUCACCUAGGCGACGAUACAUAGCCGACCUGAGAGGGUGAUCGGCCACACUGGGACUGAGACACGGCCCAGACUCCUACGGGAGGCAGCAGUAGGGAAUCUUCGGCAAUGGGGGCAACCCUGACCGAGCAACGCCGCGUGAGUGAAGAAGGUUUUCGGAUCGUAAAGCUCUGUUGUAAGUCAAGAACGAGUGUGAGAGUGGAAAGUUCACACUGUGACGGUAGCUUACCAGAAAGGGACGGCUAACUACGUGCCAGCAGCCGCGGUAAUACGUAGGUCCCGAGCGUUGUCCGGAUUUAUUGGGCGUAAAGCGAGCGCAGGCGGUUUGAUAAGUCUGAAGUUAAAGGCUGUGGCUCAACCAUAGUUUGCUUUGGAAACUGUCAAACUUGAGUGCAGAAGGGGAGAGUGGAAUUCCAUGUGUAGCGGUGAAAUGCAUAGAUAUAUGGAGGAACACCGGUGGCGAAAGCGGCUCUCUGGUCUGUAACUGACGCUGAGGCUCGAAAGCGUGGGGAGCGAACAGG